CCCUCUCUCUCUCCCCUUCUCUCUCUCUAUGCUGCGGUGCUCACGGCGUCUCUCAGACUCUCUCCCUCUCUGUCUCUCUUUCUAUGCUGCGGUGCUCACGGCGUCGGCGUCGGCGUCUCCUCCUCUCUUUCUCACCGACGUCACUCCUCCCUCACAACGUCAUGGCGGCGGCUCCUCUCCUCUUUCUCACUGGCGGUGGCUCCUCUCUUUAUCACGAUCUAGAAGUUCUGGUCACCGCUGCCAAGAUUCAAGUUGAGGAGUGAGAGACGAAUCUGGUGUAUGCUAUGGUUUCACCAUUUCAACUGUUGAAUCUGUCGAAUAAAUAAGCUAGGAGUGAAGAGACGACUUUAGGUGUGUUGUUGUUGAUGAUCCUCAGAUCUGGAGCUGAAUAUAUAUGUUAUAUCUGUUGUUCUUGUUA